GUGGGUUUGGAAGAAAAAUUGGGAGUAAUGUGGCCAGCAGAGCCUGAUGGCAGCCCACAUCUAAGCAGGUGGGGUCACUGUUUUGGUUGCUAGUAAGUGACACCCUCCUGGAGAAGGAAAUGUCAACCUGCUCCAGUUUUCUUGCCUGGAAAAUCCAAUGGAUGAGGAGCCUGGCGGGCUACAGUCCAUGGGGUCAUGAAAGACUGGAACAUGGCUGAGUGAUUGAGCAUGCAAACGCAUACACGAAAGUGACACCCAACCUGAAGAAUCAUGAACCAAUCAACAAAGCAGGGAUUUGUUGGUGACUUACUGGCCCAGAUGUCCUGAGAGCACCAGGCGAACGAGCCUGAGCUAAUUUGCCGGAGGGUGAACCCAGGAUCCAGCCCACAGCCAGCUGCCAGACCUGAGUGAGGCCCUCGACUGCCCUCUCAUCACAGAUGUGCACCUAGGUCCAGCUGAGCCCGAGAGAGCUGUCCAUCUGGGCCCAGCCCCACCACAGAUCCACAUAACUGCGACACUCACAGAUUUUUAAAAUAUUUAUUUAUCUGGCUGUGCCAGGUCUUAGAUCUUCGUUGUGGCAUGCAGGAUCUUUAGCUGCCACAUGUGGACUUAGUUGCCACAUGUAGGAUCUAGUUCCUUGACCAAGGGUUGAACCUGAGCAUUGAGAGCUCAGAGUCUUAGCCACUGCACCACCAGUGCGUCGCUUUAGUCAUGUCCGACUCUUUGCAACAUUAUGGACUGUAGCCCACCAGGCUCCUCUGUCCAUAGGAUUCUCCAGAGACGAAUACUGCAGUGGGUUGCCAUGCCUUCCUCCAGGGGAUCUCCCCUACCCGGGAACUGAACCUGCGUCUCUUAUGUCUCCUGCAUUGGCAGGUGGGAUCUUUACCAUUUGUGCCACCUGGGAAGCCUAGGGAAGUCCCAUAAAUUGUUGUUUUAAGCCAUUAAGUUUUGGGGGUAGCUUUUUCGUGCAAAGGUGAACAGCAUUGCUCCUUUAGUCUCUGGAGAGCUGAAGAUGGUCAGACAGGCAGGUCCAGUGCCUCAGCCACAAGGCUAUGCCACGAGCACCCUGGGAAGCCCUGGAGGAUCCCCCACCCCCAGAUCCUGGGUGAGGCCAGUGCGGCUUCACCUUGCACACAGAAUGGAAAGGGUGCCCUGAAACUCAGUAACGUUUUCAUGCAGUUCAGCAAACUGGCUCAUGGGCUGUCUGCCUAUUUUUGUAAAUAAACCUUUAUUGGAAUAGGUGCUGGAUCAAGGUUCGGCAAGCAGGGUAGGGUCACAGAAGCACAGGCUCAGAUCCUGUUUGUAUUAAAAGUUUGAGACUUUGUCAUGGA
ensembl:lncRNA